UGGGAACAAGAAUGUUCAGAGAGAGAGAGGGGUCUAGAGGUGGGAACAGGAAUGUUCAGAGAGAGAGAGGGGUCUAGAGGUGGGAACAGGAAUGUUCAGAGAGAGAGAGGGGUCUAGAGGUGGGAACAGGAAUGUUCAGAGAGAGAGAGGGGUCUAGAGGUGGGAACAGGAAUGUUCAGAGAGAGAGAGGUCUAGAGGUGGGAACAGGAACGUUCAGAGAGAGAGGGGUCUAGAGGUGGGAACAGGAAUGUUCAGAGAGAGAGAGAGGUCUAGAGGUGGGAACAGGAACGUUCAGAGAGAGAGAGAGGUCUAGAGGUGGGAACAGGAACGUUCAGAGAGAGAGAGGGGUCUAGAGGUGGGAACAGGAACGUUCAGAGAGAGAGAGGUCU
ensembl:lncRNA